rnacentral:lncRNA from 1 species
GCCAAUUAGUUUUAAGAGGGUUGUUGUGGGGGGGGGGGAAGGGGAAUUCGUCUGAUUGUCCAGGGAGGACGGGCUGUCUUCGGGCUGGGGCGGGCCAGAUGUUGUACUUUUCGGGGGGGAAAAGGUAUCGGGAAAUGAGGUCAGCUGUUGUAUCAAGGAUAGAGGGGGGCAGAGAUAGUGGGAGAGACAGAGUGAACGUGAAAGGGGGGGAGAGGACAGCGAGAGGCGGGCAGGCGCACAGCGGGAGAGAACAGCACGGAGAGAAACAGAAAGCGUGUAAUUAAUCCACUUUGGUUCGGCGAAGGCGAGAGGG